rnacentral:rRNA from 1 species
GAUGAACGCUGGCGGCGUGCCUAAUACAUGCAAGUCGAGCGAACAGACGAGGAGCUUGCUCCUCUGACGUUAGCGGCGGACGGGUGAGUAACACGUGGAUAACCUACCUAUAAGACUGGGAUAACUUCGGGAAACCGGAGCUAAUACCGGAUAAUAUAUUGAACCGCAUGGUUCAAUAGUGAAAGACGGCUUUGCUGGCACGUAUAGAUGGUUCCGCGCUGGAUUAGCUAGUUGGUAAGGUAACGGCUUACCAAGGCAACGAUGCGUAGCCGACCUGAGAGGGUGAUAGGCCACCCUGGAACUGAGCCACGGUCCAUGCUCCUACGGGAGGCAGCAGUGGGGAAUCUUCGGCAAUGGGCGAAAGCAUGACGGAGUAACGCCGCGUGAGUGAUGACGGCCUUCGGAUCGUAAAGCUCUGUUAUUGGGGAAGAACAAAUGUGUAAGUAAAUAUGCCCGUCUUGACGGUACCUAAUCAGAAAGCCACGGCUAACUACGUG